rnacentral:rRNA from 1 species
UACGUAGGGGGCAAGCGUUGUCCGGAAUCAUUGGGCGUAAAGCGCGCGUAGGCGGCCCGGUAAGUCCGCUCUGAAAGUCCAGGGCUCAACCCUGGCAAGCGGGUGGAUACUGCCGGGCUAGAAUCCGGAAGAGGCGAGUGGAAUUCCUGGUGUAGCGGUGGAAUGCGCAGAUAUCAGGAGGAACACCAAUAGCGAAGGCAGCUCGCUGGGACGGUAUUGACGCUGAGGAGCGAAAGCGUGGGGAGCGAACAGG